GACAGAGGUGCCGAGCGUUAGGCGGAAUCACUGGGCUUAAAGCGUGUGUAGGCGGGCCGUUAAGUAUCUUGUGAAAUCCCCCGGCUCAACCGGGGAACGGCUGGGUAUACUGGCGAUCUUGAGCGACCUAGGGGCAGUCGGAACAAGUGGUGGAGCGGUGAAAUGCGUAGAUAUCACUUGGAACGCCAAUGGUGAAAACAGGCUGCUGGGGGUUCGCUGACGCUGAGACACGAAAGCCAGGGGAGCAAACGGG
rnacentral:rRNA from 1 species